rnacentral:rRNA from 1 species
UGUAGUCUGCAACCCGACUACAUGAAGCUGGAAUCGCUAGUAAUCGCGGAUCAGAAUGCCGCGGUGAAUACGUUCCCGGGUCUUGUACACACCGCCCGUCACACCAUGGGAGUCGGUAACACCCAAAGUUGGUAGUCUAACCGCAAGGAGGACGCCGCCUAAGGUGGGAUUGAUGACUGGGGUGAAGUCGUAACAAGGUACC